rnacentral:misc_RNA from 1 species
GAUGAAGAACGCAGUGAAAUGCGAUACGUAGUGUGAAUUGCAGAAUUCAGUGAAUCAUCGAAUCUUUGAACGCACAUUGCACCUCUCGGUAUUCCGGGAGGUAUGCCUGUUCGAGCGUCAUUUGUACCCUCAAGCUCUGCUUGGUGUUGGGUGUUUGUUCCGCCUCUGUGUGUGAACUCGCCUCAAAACAAUUGGCAGCCGGCGUACUUGUUUCGGAGCGCAGCACAUUUUGCGAUCCAGAUCGACGUACAGCGGCAUCCAAGAAGCCUUAUUUAACGCUCUUGACCUCGGAUCAGGUAGGGAUACCCGCUGAACUUAAGCAUAUCAAUAAGCGGAGGA